ensembl:snoRNA small nucleolar SNORD12/SNORD106
GUGUGGUUUAUGAUGAACAAUCUUUCCCCGACAUAUCGACCAUGGUGAAAUAGAUGUGUAAAAAUAAGCCAAAUUGCUCUGAAAACCACAA